GCCAAGUACAUGGGACAGUGUUCCCGGUGGUUUUGAAAAUUACCGGCGGCUUAUGCCGACGGGGUCUGAAAAUUCCGGCUGAACUAGUUUUUAUCCGGAGAGACAAAGUAAUCAGUAUUCGUAACGAUAUACUGUUAAUAAAUGUGUUGAAAAGUC